UCGGUGGGGAUUAGUGGCGAACGGGUGAGUAACACGUGGGCAAUCUGCCCUGCACUCUGGGACAAGCCCUGGAAACGGGGUCUAAUACCGGAUACUGACCCUCGCAGGCAUCUGCGAGGUUCGAAAGCUCCGGCGGUGCAGGAUGAGCCCGCGGCCUAUCAGCUUGUUGGUGAGGUAAUGGCUCACCAAGGCGACGACGGGUAGCCGGCCUGAGAGGGCGACCGGCCACACUGGGACUGAGACACGGCCCAGACUCAUACGGGAGGCAGCAGUGGGGAAUAUUGCACAAUGGGCGAAAGCCUGAUGCAGCGACGCCGCGUGAGGGAUGACGGCCUUCGGGUUGUAAACCUCUUUCAGCAGGGAAGAAGCGAAAGUGACGGUACCUGCAGAAGAAGCGCCGGCUAACUACGUGCCAGCAGCCGCGGUAAUACGUAGGGCGCAAGCGUUGUCCGGAAUUAUUGGGCGUAAAGAGCUCGUAGGCGGCUUGUCGCGUCGGUUGUGAAAGCCCGGGGCUUAACCCCGGGUCUGCAGUCGAUACGGGCAGGCUAGAGUUCGGUAGGGGAGAUCGGAAUUCCUGAUGUAGCGGUGAAAUGCGCAGAUAUCAGGAGGAUCACCGGUGGCGAAGGCGGAUCUCUGGGCCGAUACUGACGCUGAGGAGCGAAAGCGUGGGGAGCGAACAGGAUUAGAUACCCUGAUAGUCCACGCCGUAAACGGUGGGCACUAGGUGUGGGG
rnacentral:rRNA from 1 species